rnacentral:lncRNA from 1 species
GUAGAAGUGCUCUCGCUGCCCUCCACGCCAAGCCCACGUUUCCGAGCAUCCAGUUUUGCAGUGAUUCAGGCGAGAGAGAUGGUGAUUCAGACCAGGCAAGAAGCAAUAGAGGUGGCAAGAAAUUGUUGUAUUCUACGUAUAUUUUGGAAGUAGGAGCCAAAAGAAUCUGCCAGUGGACUCUGAAAGAAGUAAGGCCUGAGCAUCUGAAGGAUGGAGUUACCAUCAGAUGACAUGGAGAUGACUCGUAUUUUUUAAAUGAGCUCCUUGUAGUGGAUGUUGUUAUUAAUAUAUUAGUUAUCAAAAUGCCUUAUAGUGUCCUGUUAACUGUAAGUACUAAUGCUCCUGCACUGGUAAUGAUGUCCGUAGAGUCAUUGCAGGAAUAAGAAAGCAGGAAGACUUCAUAUGGAUCUAAGCAAAGUUCCACAUUGUAGCUGUCUUUGGAAAAUUCCGAUUGUGUAGCUUUAUGUUAGGGACUGUAAAGAAACAGCUUUGGAUAGUGGUGUGGUUCCUAAAAAGAAUUGUUUCCAGACCACAGAGUGACUAUGAGGCGUAGGCUUUUAUCAUUUAAAAACAUCAAUUUUUAUUUACUUAGAUAGUAAUAAAGUUUAAUUAUUAUGUUUAAUAAGAAAGAGUCAUAACUUGAGUCUUACUUACUGACCUAGGACGUUGGUACAAAGAGGAAUGCUCCUUGGCUCUUUUCCUGCCGCAUGCUCACUGAAUUCAGUAAGGCUCAUAUUUGAUAGACGUUGAGGUGCCAGAAAUCAGAGUGCUUGGUUGCAUUUGACUCAGCUAUAAACUGACUAACUCAGGUAGAAAUUGUAUUUAUUGAAAAAAAUAAUGUGUCAGACGGAAGGCUAUGUUAGGGCGCUGAAAAUAUUUUGUAUCUUGAUCUAGGUGGAAGUUUCAUAGGUGGUUACAUACUUCAGAUUUGUGCCCUUUAUGGAAGUCAUACCUCAAUUUUUUUAAGUAAUUUUUUUUAAUGGGAAAGCUAGAGAAAUAGACUUGGAAAUAAGCAGAACUAAGAGAAGCUAGGUGAUCAGAAUGACAGCGACCAAGGCUAUGCAACGUUAGGGUACUGCUGUUGCCGCCACUGCCCCCAAACAUAGUCCCCAUAUACAGCACUGGAAUUCAUUAUAAAGUGUCCCUGCUCCUCUGCAUCACUGCUGACUCAAAGGCCCUGACAGAAGCAUCAGAUUGUGCCCCAGCUUCCAGGAGUCAGAGAGCAAUGGGCUAGCAUCAUUUCCCCGAAACUUAAGACAGUGGUAGCUUCUAUAAAUAUAAGAAGGGAUUGAGAUGCUGAGCAGUGACAAAUAUCCACACAUCCCUAGUCUUCAUCUCGCCCUGUUGCCCCCAAAUUGGAGUCUUUCUCUCACCCCCAUACCCAACCCAUCAACCUUCUCUGACUGCUAUAUGUCCUGAAACUGUGCACUUGUCACUACUUACACCCUUGUCCAAGCCACCAGCAUCUCUCAGUCUCUUCCUAUUUCAUCUCUUUGCUAUCACUCUCCCCACUCCACACCCACAAUCCAUUCCAUACAUGGAAAAUAGCAGUCAUUUAAAAAGAUAAACCACAUCAUUUCCUGGGCCUUUUCCCUUGCUCCUUGUGCUCUAGCAACCUUGAGGACCUCAUUUCUGUCUUAGGACCUGCACUUGCCAUUCUCUGGAAAGCUCUUUCUCCAGAUCUUACUUGGGUAGCUCUUUUUUGUCAUUUCACUUCUCUGCUCAAAUGUCACUUCAGAGGCUGCCUCUGAAAACCCCAUCAGUAACCUGCUUUGAGAAUUCAGGGGAAAAGAUGGAAAUUUCUGUUUCUUAUAACAAAUACCAAAAAGUUACAGUACUAUUUGAUUAAACGAUGGACAUCUAUAACUUUGGAAAAUGUUUACAUUUAAAUGAAAUUCAAGAAGAAAAACUUUUGAAAAGUCUAUCCACACCCAUUGUUACUGUUUGUCAUAUCUCCUUGGCUUAUUUUCAUCAAGGCAUUUAUCACUACCUGCAGUUACCUUGUUUAUUUGUUUAUUAUCUGUGUCCACCCUUCUAGAAUGUAAUCUCCGUGGCAGCAGGGACCUUGUGUAUCUAGUUCAUUGCUAUAUGCCUAGGAGCUAUCACAUAGAAGAUGUUCAGUUAAUUAUUAAUAAAUGGAUGAAUGUAAAGGGAUUCCCAGAGAAUGGUUGUCUUUUUGUCAGGAAAAGACUAAGGACCAUGAGAUGCAAUGUCUGUAACUUUUCAAAAUGUCACUCCUGAG